rnacentral:tRNA from 1 species
GCGGUCGUAGUAUAGUGGUUAGUAUAUGGGACUGUGGAUCCUGUGACGCGAGUCCGAUUCUCGCCGACCGCC